GUGAGGUUAAAACAGCCCCGGUGAGGUUGGGACGGCCCCAGUGCGGUUGAAAUGGCCCCGGUCAGGUCGGGACGGCCCCGGUGAGGUCGGGACAGCCCCGGUGAGGUUGAAACGGCCCCGGUGAGGUUGGGACAGCCCCGGUGAGGUUAAAACAGCCCCGGUGAGGUUGGGACGGCCCCAGUGCGGUUGAAAUGGCCCCGGUCAGGUCGGGACGGCCCCGGUGAGGUCGGGACAGCCCCGGUGAGGUUGAAACGGCCCCGGUGAGGUUGGGACAGCCCCGGUGAGGUUAAAACAGCCCCGGUGAGGUUGGGACGGCCCCAGUGCGGUUGAAAUGGCCCCGGUCAGGUCGGGACGGCCCCGGUGAGGUCGGGACAGCCCCGGUGAGGUUGAAACGGCCCCGGUGAGGUUGGGACAGCCCCGGUGAGGUUAAAACAGCCCCGGUGAGGUUGGGACGGCCCCAGUGCGGUUGAAAUGGCCCCGGUCAGGUCGGGACGGCCCCGGUGAGGUCGGGACAGCCCCGGUGAGGUUGAAACGGCCCCGGUGAGGUUGGGACAGCCCCGGUGAGGUUAAAACAGCCCCGGUGAGGUUGGGACGGCCCCAGUGCGGUUGAAAUGGCCCCGGUCAGGUCGGAACGACCCGGGUCAGGUUGAAUCGGCCCCAGUGAGGUCGGGACGGCCCCGGUGAGGUCGGGACAGCCCCGG